rnacentral:rRNA from 1 species
GAUGAACGCUGGCGGCGUGCCUAAUACAUGCAAGUCGAGCGAACAGACGAGGAGCUUGCUCCUCUGACGUUAGCGGCGGACGGGUGAGUAACACGUGGAUAACCUACCUAUAAGACUGGGAUAACUUCGGGAAACCGGAGCUAAUACCGGAUAAUAUAUUGAACCGCAUGGUUCAAUAGUGAAAGACGGUUUUGCUGUCACUUAUAGAUGGAUCCGCGCCGCAUUAGCUAGUUGGUAAGGUAACGGCUUACCAAGGCAACGAUGCGUAGCCGACCUGAGAGGGUGUUCGGCCGCACUGGAACUGAGACACGGUCCAGACUCCUACGGGAGGCAGCAGAAGGGAAUCUUCCGCGAUGGGCGAAAGCCUGACGGAGCAACGCCGCGUGAGUGAUGAAGGUCUUCGGAUCGUAAAACUCUGUUAUUAGGGAAGAACAAAUGUGUAAGUAACUAUGCACGUCUUGACGGUACCUAAUCAGAAAGCCACGGCUAACUACGUG